rnacentral:rRNA from 1 species
AGUGAACGCUGGCGGUAGGCCUAACACAUGCGAGUCGAACGGCAGCACAGUAAGAGCUUGCUCUUACGGGAGGCGAGUGGCGGACGGGUGAGGAAUACAUCGGAAUCUACUUUUUCGUGGGGGAUAACGUAGGGAAACUUACGCUAAUACCGCAUACGACCUACGGGUGAAAGAAGGGGAUCUUCGGACCUUGCGCGAUUGAAUGAGCCGAUGUCGGAUUAGCUAGUUGGCGGGGUAAAGGCCCACCAAGGCGACGAUCCGUAGCUGGUCUGAGAGGAUGAUCAGCCACACUGGAACUGAGACACGGUCCAGACUCCUACGGGAGGCAGCAGUGGGGAAUAUUGGACAAUGGGCGCAAGCCUGAUCCAGCCAUACCGCGUGGGUGAAGAAGGCCUUCGGGUUGUAAAGCCCUUUUGUUGGGAAAGAAAAGCAGCAGGUUAAUACCCCGCUGUUCUGACGGUACCCAAAGAAUAAGCACCGGCUAACUUCGUG